rnacentral:piRNA from 1 species
UCUUACAAAUAGGAUGGUGUUCUUGAU